UACGAAGGGGGCUAGCGUUGCUCGGAAUCACUGGGCGUAAAGCGUGCGCAGGCGGUUCGUUAAGUUCGUUGUGAAAGCCCCGGGCUCAACCUGGGAACUGCAAUGGAAACUGGCGGGCUUGAAUGCGGCAGAGGGGGAUGGAAUUCCGCGUGUAGCAGUGAAAUGCGUAGAUAUGCGGAGGAACACCGAUGGCGAAGGCAAUCCCCUGGGCCUGCACUGACGCUCAUGCACGAAAGCGUGGGGAGCAAACAGG
rnacentral:rRNA from 1 species